rnacentral:rRNA from 1 species
AGUGAACGCUGGCGGUAGGCCUAACACAUGCAAGUCGAACGGCAGCACAGUAAGAGCUUGCUCUUACGGGUGGCGAGUGGCGGACGGGUGAGGAAUACAUCGGAAUCUACUUUUUCGUGGGGGAUAACGUAGGGAAACUUACGCUAAUACCGCAUACGACCUACGGGUGAAAGCAGGGGAUCUUCGGACCUUGCGCGAUUGAAUGAGCCGAUGUCGGAUUAGCUAGUUGGCGGGGUAAAGGCCCACCAAGGCGACAAUCCGUAGCGGGUCUGAGAGGAUGAUCAGCCACACUGGAACUGAGACACGGUCCAGACUCCUACAGGAGGCAGCAGUGGGGAAUAUUGGACAAUGGGCGCAAGCCUGAUCCAGCCAUACCGCGUGGGUGAAGAAGGCCUUCGGGUUGUAAAGCCCUUUUGUUGGGAAAGAAAAGCAGCAGGUUAAUACCCCGCUGUUCUGACGGUACCCAAAGAAUAAGCACCGGCUAACUUCGUG